UGUUUAGUGACCUUAGUUCACUCUAGAUUUGUGCAUUUGUUUUGUGACAUGUUGAUUUGUGUGCUUAUGAGUUGAUGUAAUUAUUUUUUCUCUUCCAUAGGUCCAUGUUAUUGCACGCACUUCCAAUUGGUCAGGUGGUGGAAAUCUGGAGCUGUAAGGGAUGCAAAGAAACAGUAUCAAAUCAACGCAAAAUUCAAAAGAAUUACGACGGUCCCACUUCAAUCCAAGUUCCAGUCUCAGAUAGACCUUCACUCUGACAACCUGAUAAAGCUGUUCCAAAAGAGAGGGGGACAAAUAGGGAAAGGUCUCCAAGCAAUCAUUGAGAAAAUGACUGAUAUGCUGGCCAGGAGUGUCUCCUGAAGGGACUUUGUAUGUACAUGGGGGAAGAUCCUGAAAACCUUGUGCAGGAAUAUAUGGGCAUGGAUGAAGCUGAUGUCAGUGAAUCCAUUGAAGACACAACUGUCGGGAUUUACGUUCUGAGAGAACAUGAAUCAAGUGAACCGGAGGACAUUUGUUUCUUUUCUUUUUUGUUUAUGCGCAAAGGACUUCAACACAUCUCACCUUUUGGUCUAUCUCUUGUUCAUCUCUCACUCUCUCUUUUUCUCUGUCACACCAACACACACAUACUAACAAACACACGCACCUCACACCCAUCCACAUAACUCCAGUGACAAACUCCAGUGUAAUUUUUGCCACCAUGUUUGGCUCACAGCAUAGACCACCAUUGUCUUCCUCUCUAUCCCCUUCUCUUCCUCUCUUUCUCUUCCCUUCU